rnacentral:tRNA from 2 species
GCGGCAGUAACUCAGCUGGGAGAGUGUCAGACUGAAGAUCUGAAGGUCGCUGGUUCAAGUCCGGCCUGCCGCACCA